UGCCAUGACAGCAGGAGUUGGGCCCCUUAGGGGGCGUGGGGACAAAGGUUGAAAAGUAUGAGCCUAUCUGGGGGAAGGAAGGGGAUCUACGGACAGUCCAGGGCAGCGUCAUCCUAUGUUCUCUGGGAUAUAUCUAGGAUAUUAUCACAUCCUUCUUCUCUGGACCUCAACAGACAUGGGCAGCAUGCUCCUUAUACUACCAACCACGCAACCGACACCCAUCAGGACUUUCCGAUCUGCACAGGGACGAAAUAAAGGAAGGGCGUGUUCAUUCUGGAUCACAGGCAGUACCUGGCAAGUUCCCCAUGUGCCAUGGAGCAACCUGAAGCCCAGAAACAGCAAGCAGCUUUGUCCAGGUGGAGAGCCGACCAGAACGUCAAAACUCAGUCAGCUGUCGGACUCCCAGUCUGAACUGGGCAAUCAGGAGAUAGGAAUGGGGAGAUGCCACUCAGAAGAAGAAAAAAGGAAGAGGCAAAGGACCAAAGACCCAAGAAUCAAAGUUUUCAGAAAGAGGGAGAAGGGAUGGAAGAGGAGGGGGAACAGCUGGUGGCCAUGAGCAUCUGCCUUCAGAUGAAAAGAAAGAACUAGAGAACUUGAUGCUGGGGGAGGGGAGUUUGGAAAAGAAAAAAAAAGAAGAAGAAGAAGGAGAAGGAGAAGAAGAAGAAGAAGCUGCUGAACACAGGAAAAGGAGGCUAGAUGGUCACUGCUUGGCAACCAGUGACCUCACAUGGGCAUCCCUGUGGACCUGGUCACAAAAAUCUCCUGACUCUCUCCAUCACCUGAACAGUCACCCUGGUGGAGAAGAGAAGACUCUGGAAUCACAUCACCCCCAUCUUCCCCACCCACCAAUGUCCCAAGGUUCCCUGCUGUCCACUAGCUGAUGCUGAGGAAACCUAAGACCCCCAUACACACUCCACAGGCCUCUGUGGUCCUCCACCUCUCCCACAGGCUGUCCUUUAGGGACAGCUGGGGCCCCUUGUGCCUUCCCUUCCUACUGGAGAAAGCUCCACCCAGCUCCUUAAACACUUUUAAUGGCUCCUCCACUUUUCCAACGAAGGAACGCUAUGGCCUCCGAAAGAGCCCGGAGUUUGCUGUUUGUUUUGAACAACACGUAACCCUGGGCCUUGGGGAACUUGCAAUUUGGCUGGAAAACUGAAAGGUCAGUACUUUAAAACUGAGUACACUGAGCCUGUAAACUGAGAUAAGUGGGAGGGGCUGGUAAGGAAGCGCCUCUGAGCUCCACCCAGGGGCAGGCACCAGGUUCUGCGGGUCGGGGCAGAGCAGAACAAGAAGCCUCCACCGGGAAACUUUUAGUCUUUCCAGAGUCCUGCAAGCCGGGAGUAGAUGGCCCUGGUUUUCACUUCUUCCCUUCCCCCACAGCUCAGCUCUGGUUGCCCUCUGAGAUGAUUAAAACCAAAAGAAUUUCGGUGUCUGGAA